rnacentral:ncRNA from 2 species
AAAAAAUCGAUGAAUGAGUUAAGUAGUUAAACACAUCACUGUUUCAGAGAGCCGGAGAAGGGUGGGACUUCGGCACAGGGAGGUUUAAUGAAUGGUCUCAUGAGAGCAUGGCUGAAUUUACAGUAGGUCAUGACGGAAGCCCCCGUUAUCGUAGGCUACGGUGUCCCUGAAGUGAGGAAGCACCGGAAAAGUGGGAACGCAACAAACGUUCCAAUCGAGGUGGCACCGCGAGUUAAUCGUCCUCCAU